rnacentral:rRNA from 1 species
GACAGAGGUGCCGAGCGUUAGGCGGAAUCACUGGGCUUAAAGCGUGUGUAGGCGGAUGGGUAAGUACCUUGUGAAAUCCCACGGCUCAACCGUGGAACUGCUCGGUAUACUGCUCGUCUUGAGCCAACUAGGGGCGACCGGAACAAACGGUGGAGCGGUGAAAUGCGUAGAUAUCGUGUGGAACGCCGAUGGUGAAAACAGGUCGCUGGGGUUGUGCUGACGCUGAGACACGAAAGCCAGGGGAGCGAACGGG